UGGGGAAUCUUGGACAAUGGGCGAAAGCCUGAUCCAGCCAUGCCGCGUGAGUGACGAAGGUCUUCGGAUUGUAAAGCUCUUUUGGCGGGGACGAUAAUGACGGUACCCGCAGAAUAAGCCCCGGCUAACUUCGUGCCAGCAGCCGCGGUAAUACGAAGGGGGCUAGCGUUGUUCGGAAUUACUGGGCGUAAAGCGCACGUAGGCGGAUUUGUAAGUCAGGGGUGAAAUCCCGGGGCUCAACCUCGGAACUGCCCUUGAUACUGCAAAUCUCGAGUCCGAUAGAGGUGAGUGGAAUUCCUAGUGUAGAGGUGAAAUUCGUAGAUAUUAGGAAGAACACCGGUGGCGAAGGCGGCCCACUGGAUCGGUACUGACGCUGAGGUGCGAAAGCGUGGGGAGCAAACAGGAUUAGAUACCCAUGUAGUCCCUGAGCGGGCUGGCAAGGCGCAU
rnacentral:rRNA from 1 species